UACGUAGGGACCAAGCGUUGUCCGGAUUUACUGGGCGUAAAGAGCGCGCAGGCGGUCGAUUUAGUCGCGUGUGAAAGCCCCCGGCUCAACUGGGGAGGGUCACGCGAUACUGAUCGACUCGAAGGCAGGAGAGGGUAGUGGAAUUCCCGGUGUAGUGGUGAAAUGCGUAGAUAUCGGGAGGAACACCAGUGGCGAAGGCGACAACCUGGCCUGUUCUUGACGCUGAGGCGCGAAAGCUAGGGGAGCAAACGGG
rnacentral:rRNA from 1 species